AUGAGACUCUAUAGCUCCUUUCGAAAAUCUCUCCAAUUUGCAUAGCAUUAUUAGCAUAAUGUAUUUGGCUCACAUAAAGAGAUAAAUAUGGGUGUGCCAGGAAGACUUCAUCAAAUAUGAACCUUAAAAGUGAAAACAUUGUUUUGAAGAAAAUAGCUGGAAUAGGAAAAGUAUUUUUAUCAAGUUAUCUCUACAUCUCCAAGCAAGUAAUACUGUGCCUCAUUAUGUCUAUGUGCAAAACGAGGAAAAAAAAAAAAAAAAAAAACCAAAAAACACUAGAAUGACUUUUAGGAGACCAAGGAGAAAAUUCAAUCCCUCUUUCCCCCAGUGUUGCUUGAUUUGCCCCAUCUCCUGGACCAACUUUCAAAUAGGUUUGGUUAUUGCGUGCCUGCUGAUGUGUAUUUGUUUGUAUUGUCUUCUCAGGAAUUUAAUUUCACAUGCUACCAACACAAUCGUGUCACUGCAAUUUAGCAUGCAUUUUGAUGAUGUGUUCUAUAUCUCAUUAAAGUCUCGUCUCUUUAGCCAAUACCAUAUGCUACUCAUCUGUAGAAAAGCUCUUAAACAUAAUGAAAAAGGUAUAAUCACAAAUGAGAAGGCAAAUGCUGACAAACAACCCACAGGUAUUCAAGUUCCAUGACACUACUGAAAGAAAAUAUAGUGCAAAAAGAAAGCCUUUUAAAUUUUUUAGAAUCGUUAUCUGACAGGAAAAAAAUGUUGAGCUUGGAGGUACUCUUCAGUUACUCUAUGCAACUCCAUUGCAGCAUUCUCAGAUCACGAGACAAUGAUGUACCAAUGUAUAUGUAGGAGGAAGAUUUGUUUUUAACAGAGAUAAAAGUUUCAAGUUAUUGAUAUAUAAUACUGAACAAUUUGUUUUCAAAAGUGCUAAUUUAAAGAUUAAAAUAUUUUGAAAAUAUUUUGAGACUAUUAUACCUAGUUUUUCUUUUCCCUCAGAUUUUGAUUUUUUUGUUUUUUUGUUUUGAGCCACAAUGGGAACUUUAUAUAUAUAUAUAUUUUUCUGUAUAUAAUCAUUAUGAGAACAGAAUAAAAGAGUUAGUGGUGAUCAUCUGUAUCAAGAGUAGUAGAAGAGAUAAGCCAAGUUCUGACCUCAGACGUGAAUAUAUGACUGUCAGUAAUCAAAUUAAAGUGCAUCUGGGUUAGGUAAGAAAUCGAGUUUAGAAAGAGGACCAGAGAGACAAUUUCUAUCUACUCAGUAUCACUACUAAUACUUAAAUUCUUAAAGUUAGAGAGAUGCCAGCCCUGAAAGGACCUCUAUACACAUAUGAUGCUAGUUUUACCGUAAAGAUGCACUGAGACCCUAAAAGUUUUGCCUAGGCACAUGAAGGCCUAAUCCCAGCCUUCUGGUCACUGGUCUCAGGGAAGCCAGGACAAUGCAGAAGAGAGCUGUGCCUGGGCAUUGCCCAGAGCUGAGGACACCAUGACAAGGAAGUGCUAGAAACACAGUGACGAUGGCUAGGGAGGCUGCCUAGUUGAGCACGUAAUCCAGAGUGGAGAACACUUGGAUGAGGCUUGUGAGCAAAUGGUUGAUGUUCACCCACAGUUUUGUUCCCCACCUUUGGGAAAUAAAAGCCAAGCACAGGUUUUUGUAAGCAGGACUCCAGGACUUGACUCCAGUCCAUCUCUAAUUAAAUCUAAAUUAAAUUUCACCAAGCAGAAUUACCAGGGCCUAAACAGACCUGGUGAUAAAUCCUUCUUCCUGGUGCUGACUAGUAUUCACUAAAGACAAAGAUCCACUAACGAGGAACGGUUUUGUCUGUUCUUGGUAUGUUAAUUCAAAUCAUAAGAACUAAGCUAGUAGGUUUCUUUGGAUGGACAGUAUAUUGCAUGUGUUCAUUUAGUCACAUAUUUUAAUUGUACAGAUCAUGAAAUAUAUUUGGAAUUAUAUUUGGAAUUAAGAGUUCUUAACAUAAGAUAGCCAUGUAUGCAAAAUCAAAGCUUUUAUACAUUUCUUUGGUAACAGCUUCUUUAAAACACACUCAUAUCAUGGACUUUCUCCUGUCAAAGCUCUGUAAAUGGUUGCUUUACUAAUGGCUACCUUAGUCUCACUAUUUAUUUUUCCUUUUUUUCUGAGAGUAUAAUCUUUUUUAUCUCCACCUUCCAUCUGGAAAUAACCUGCACUGAAUCAAAUGCACCUUUUUUAAAGUGCAAUUUUUAAUUAAGCAGUCUUUUUCAUUUAUUAUUUUUUCUCCUAGGAGGCUCUGAAGCUUACUCUGUUUCUGCCUGAGUAUACAUAGAUUAUUGGCUUAUUUUGUCUUUUUAUUUUUAGACUCGCUUUGAACAAACUUUGAUGGCAGUAUGAAAGUUAAUAAGGAUCAUAUGAUCCUUUCCUUCCAGCUGUAAAUGUAUGAAUAAUGGUCAUUUUGUGAAUCAAGCUCUGCAAUAUUCAGUUAAAUAAAUAAAUAAAUAAAUAAAUAAUACCUUUUCAUUAAUCGUUGACAACAAAUUAGUAUUCUGAAAACAAAAUGACUGCAUUCCUAGGACAAUAUCACUUUCUUCAUGAAAUUUAGUAGGUGACUGAAAAUUUUAUAUGCCGCAGUUUCUGAAUGCCCAGCUUAAAAUUGAAAGGCUCAGAAUAAUAGGAGAAAACAAAAUUGUCUGAAUGUAGUUUAUGUAUCAAUAUAAUUCUGUGCAUUGUGUGGUGCUUAGAUAUACAAUGAAACUUGCAGUCCCAGACACAAUAAAAGGUCAUUUCUGUG
ensembl:lncRNA